rnacentral:tRNA from 1 species
GGGCGGUUAGCUCAGUUGGUUAGAGUAUUACCUUGACAUGGUAGGGGUCACAGGUUCAAUUCCUGUACCGCCCA